UACGUAGGGGGCAAGCGUUGUCCGGAUUUAUUGGGCGUAAAGAGCGUGUAGGCGGCCAUACAGGUCAGCUGUGAAAACUCGAGGCUCAACCUCGAGACGUCGGUUGAAACCGUAUGGCUAGAGUCCGGAAGAGGAGAGUGGAAUUCCCGGUGUAGCGAUGAAAUGCGCAGAUAUCGGGAAGAACACCCGUGGCGAAGGCGGCUCUCUGGGACGGUACUGACGCUGAGACGCGAAAGCGUGGGGAGCGAACAGG
rnacentral:rRNA from 1 species